rnacentral:rRNA from 1 species
AUUGAACGCUGGCGGCAGGCCUAACACAUGCAAGUCGAGCGGAGCGGCGGACGGGUGAGUAAUGCCUAGGAAUCUGCCUGGGAGUGGGAGAUAACGUCCGGUAACGGACGCUAAUACCGCAAACUCUCAGAUUAGCCUAGGUCGGAUUAGCUAGAUGGGGGGGUAAAGGCCUACCAAGGCCACGAUCCGUAACUGGUCUGAGAGGAUGAUCAGUCACACUGGGACUGAGACACGGUCCAGACUCCUACGGGAGGCAGCAGUGGGGAAUAUUGGACAAUGGGCGAAAGCCUGAUCCAGCCAUGCCGCGUGUAUGAAGAAGGUCUUCGGAUUGUAAAGCACUUUAAGUAGGGAGGCGUUACCAACAGAAUAAGCACCGGCUAACUACGUGCCAGCAGCCGCGGUAAUAC